CCUACGGGAGGCAGCAGUAGGGAAUCUUCCACAAUGGACGAAAGUCUGAUGGAGCAACGCCGCGUGAGUGAAGAAGGGUUUCGGCUCGUAAAGCUCUGUUGGUAGUGAAGAAAGAUAGAGGUAGUAACUGGCCUUUAGUUGACGGUAAGUACUGAGAAAGGCACGGCUAACUACGUGCAAGCAGCCGCGGUAAUACGUAGGUGGCAAGCGUUGUCCGGGUUUAUUGGGCGUAAAGCGAGUGCAGGCGGUUCAAUAAGUCUGAUGUGAAAGCCUUCGUCUCAACCGGAGAAUUGCAUCAGAAACUGUUGAUCUUGAGUGCAGAAGAGGAGAGUGGACCUCCAUGUGUAGCGGUUGAAUUCUUAGAUAUCUGGCAGACCACCAGUGUCGAAGGCGGCUCUCUGGUCUGCAACUGACGCUGAGGCUCGAAAGCCUGGGUAGCGAACAGGAUUAGAUACCCUUGUAGUC
rnacentral:rRNA from 1 species